rnacentral:rRNA from 1 species
AGCGGAUGAACUGUGGGUAGCGGAGAAAUUCCAAUCGAACUUGGAGAUAGCUGGUUCUCUCCGAAAUAUAUUUAGGUAUAGCCUCAGAGGAUGAGAGAUGGAGGUAGAGCACUGUUUGGACUAGGGGCCCACACGGGUUACUGAAUCUAGAUAAACUCCGAAUGCCAACUUGUUAACUCUGGGAGUCAGACGGCGAGUGAUAAGAUCCGUCGUCGAAAGGGAAACAGCCCAGCCCACCAGCUAAGGUCCCAAAGUACUUGUUAAGUGGAAAAGGAUGUGGGGUUGCAUAGACAGCUAGGAUGUUGGCUUAGAAGCAGCCAUCAUUGAAAGAGUGCGUAAUAGCUCACUAGUCGAGUGACCCUGCGCCGAAAAUGUACCGGGGCUAAACAAGACACCGAAGCUGUGGAUUUACUUUAGAGUAAGUGGUAGGAGAGCGUUCUAUGUGCGGCGAAGGGGUACCGUAAGGAGCCUUGGAGCGCAUAGAAGUGAGAAUGCCGGUAUGAGUAGCGAAAGAUGGGUGAGAAUCCCAUCCACCGAUAGACUAAGGUUUCCAGGGGAAGGUUCGUCCGCCCUGGGUUAGUCGGGACCUAAGCAAAAGCCGAACGGCGUAUGCGAUGGAUAACAGGUAGAGAUUCCUGUACUUGGGAAGACGUUUGAGCAAUGGAGGGACACAGGAGGUAAGUCCACGCAGGCGGAUGGAAGAGCCUGUAGAAGCAGUGAGUGUGCGAGUGAGUCAAAUGCUUAGUCGCAGAAAGCAUGAGCUGUGACCUGGAGCGAAGUAAAAGUAGCGAAGGUGGAUCAUCAAACUGUCGAGAAAAGCUUCUAGCGAGUCGAACCAACCCGUACCGCAAACCGACACAGGUAGUCAAGUAGAGAAUACUGAGGUGAGCGAGAGAACUCUCGUUAAGGAACUCGGCAAAAUGACCCCGUAACUUCGGGAGAAGGGGUGCACACGCAAGUGUGCCGCAGUGAAUAGGCCCAGGCGACUGUUUAUCAAAAACACAGGUUUCUGCUAAAUCGAAAGAUGAUGUAUAGGAGCUGACGCCUGCCCGGUGCUGGAAGGUUAAGAGGAGUGCUUAGCUUCGGCGAAGGUACGAAUUGAAGCCCCAGUAAACGGCGGCCGUAACUAUAACGGUCCUAAGGUAGCGAAAUUCCUUGUCGGGUAAGUUCCGACCCGCACGAAAGGCGUAACGA